rnacentral:rRNA from 1 species
UAUGUAGGGAGCAAGCGUUGUCCGGAAUCAUUGGGCGUAAAGCGCGCGUAGGUGGCCUCGUAAGUCCGCUGUGAAAGUCAAAGGCUCAACCUUUGAAAGCCGGUGGAUACUGUGGGGCUAGAGUACGGAAGAGGCGAGUGGAAUUCCUGGUGUAGCGGUGGAAUGCGCAGAUAUCAGGAGGAACACCAAUAGCGAAGGCAGCUCGCUGGGACGUUACUGACACUGAGGCGCGAAAGCGUGGGGAGCGAACAGG